UGUCAGACAGCUGAAAAGUCAAAGAAGAGAAAAAAAUCUUCUCCGCAAUAUUUUUGUGUUUUCAUUUUGCACGAAAAUUGAGGGAGGGCUUUUUUGGGGACAUUUCCCAGCAAUUGGACUAUGUUCUGUAACACCGUGGGUACCCAUCGACGGACAUACAUACGUGGAUGCAAUUAGAUUGGCUGCGUGCGGGAGUGUGGAAGUGAAUUAUGAGUAUCAUUGUGUCCAUCUCUGACUUCUUCACGGCCUUUUUUGUGACAAUUCUCCUCUCUGUUGUCGUGGUGCUCGCAUGGAAGUCCACCAAUGUGCGUGAGGAUCAUCUGUCUGCAGCGGUGCUCGUGAUUGAAAACAGCCGGAGACGCCUUAUUGAGCGCAUCCAUCAGUUCCAGUAUCAGCAGCCACAGACACACAAUUCCGCCCAGAGUGCAUCGCAACAGUCCAGCAACGCCACAAGUAGCAGCAGCAACAACAGCACUGGGGACACCACACAAUCUGUGGAUGUGACUCUCGCAAGUAGCGAUAGUUUGGACGGACAGGGCAACUUUAACGUGCUCUCGGAGCACCAUGAGCGCUUCCUGAGUCAAGCAGAGGAGAUAAUUGAGAGCCUCGAAGGCCCCGAUCAGAUAAUCCGUGAGAUGGAUGAUAUGAGUGAUGGUAUUCGCCAUAGGCAUUGGCGCCCAGCAGCUGCUCCCACGGCAGCCACGGCUGAGCCACAGACGGCGCCCCUAAUCACCCCUAGUAACCCCAGUGGUCCCAGCGACACGUCCACCAUUGAGAAUUGCACGAAUGAGAACAAUGAGAAUGACAUAUCAGAGGGGGCACGGGAUGCAGCAGCUGUUCCCGUGUCGGACAUGCGGAUCAAGUUGAAGUACCUGGAUGAUGUACAGCGUACAGUCCAGGGGAGGCCAUCAGAGGCAAUUGGGGACUUUAAGAAGCGCAAUUUUAGCGUAGAACUCGCAGCGGAUAAGCUGGUGCGGCUCGUUUUCAAUGGGCACGUCCUCCAGCCUGACUCCAAGACACUCCAGGCGUGCGGAUUGUUUGACAAUUGCGUCGUGCACUGUCUCAUCCACAAGAAGCCAUCAAAUAAUCCACCCGGAAGUGGGGAAAGUGGGCAGAAUGCGGCGGGAAAUGGUGAGUUCAAGAGUUUUUAUUUUAUUCUAAAUUCUUUAGCUGAAAACAAAUUCUUUUGAACCUCUUAAAAUAAGUGUUUAAAGGUCGAUUAAAGCUUUAUGUUUUAGUGGAUUCAAAUUAUGCAAAAUAUGGGAAAAUAGUUCAGCGAUAAAUCGUUAGAUUCAAACCAAUUAGCGUUCUUAAAAUUUCACUCUAACUGGUUUAGAACUGGUUUUAGAAAACUGAAAUUCAUUUAAAAAAAAUCUACACUGAAAAGUUCUUAAUUCAGUUAACCUUUGAACUGUUUUAGGGACUUUAUUCAGGAUAAAUUAAAAUAGAUUUAGUUAGAAUCUUCUUAAUCAUGAAUAGAAAAUCUUUAAAAGCCUUAAAAUAUUUAGAACAAUAAGGCUUUAAUUUAGGCCUAGAAAUUCACUUUAAUCUUAAGUUUUUUUUAAGAUUCUUUAAGUUUUCUAAACAUUCUUCAAGUUUUCUUAAGAAUGUCCUAAGUUUUAAAAGAUUUCUUAAGAUUCUUUAAGAAAAAACUUAAGAUUUUCUAAGAGACAUUUAAGAUGUGUAGCGCCCGACUCACUAUCCAGCGAAUAUUAACCUGCUCAUAGAGUGAGUACCCUUAGAUUGGCGGUAACUGUAACGGCUGCCCUUCCCUCGGCAACGGCUUCUGCCUCUAGGUUACAAACCCUCAAAUAGGCUAGAGAGAAUAAGAGAAUCCACAAGAGAAUGUAGGAGAGCACUGAGAGAAUAUUAGAUGGGAGAACGGCAAAGAGUGCUGAGUAGUGUAGAACGGCAAAGAGUGCUGAUGUGUGUAGAGCUGUAGAGAGAGUUAGUCUAAGCUCAGCCUUGCGCGGGAAUGGCUGUGCGUGUAAAGUGCUCUAUAGUUUAGCUUGAGGAUUACGAGGGUUGAGGUUACUAGAGGAGUUGCCAAAGCCCUGUGGCGCCCCCCUAUUCAGGGCGCCACAUAUCAGAAGUGGGAUGCGAAAUCCCGGUGAAAAAUAGACAGAAAAAGUGAUCGCGCGCGAGUGAGAAAACGAACAUGGCGGCUGUGACGCCGCAGAAAAGUGAGUGAAAAAGUGCCGUGGACGGCGAGGGACCCCAUUGGCAGCACCCCAGCACCAGCAGGAACCAUCGCGGAGUGUCUGCGGAGCAUCUGGAGGGGAUUUGCAGCGAAGUUAGCGGCAGCGGAGCACCGGAAUUGCGGAGGCAUCGUGGGCGAACGUGUCGCAACAAGUUCGCGGAAAUCGCCGGGCAUCAGGGCGUAUUUGGUGAAAAAUUUCCAUGAAAAUUGAAUUUUUGCAGCUCAAGGUGUGAAUGUGCGUGAAUGAGGGGUACCCCGAAAGGCCUGAAUGUCCGCAAAGAAUGGCAGAAUGCAUGAGAAAUGUCCCGUGAGCGGGGAAAAUUCUUCUCUUAUCUUUCCAGGAAGUUGCUCCAAAAGUUGCUGAAAAAUCAUGAAAGUGAGUACGUUCCUGCAUUUUAUGGGCAUUUGUGCAGCCAGUAGAGUAAUUGGGGAGAAAUAUUGUGUAAUUGAGGCUGCUUGAGGGUGAAAAUCGCGGUAGAAAGCGCCCCCAUGAAACUAUUUUAAUGAGUCGUGCGCGUAAAAUUAUUCUGCGGCGCAGAAGAAAAAUUUCCCUUCAAAAUUCAGAGAAAUCCGCCGCGGUAUGAAAAUUCCCAAAUUUCGCGGCUUGAGAAAUUAUUUGAACAAAAAUCCCUUAAAAAUUCCAGUGAAAAUAGCGGUCGAAAAUACCCUGUGAAAAAUAAAGAAGCCCCAGAAAAUUCCCAUAGAAAUCGCAGAAUUAGAGGAAAAUAAAGACAAAUAAAAAUGUGCAGAAAUAAAAGUUAGGAAAAGUUCCGCAGAAAUAAACGAAAUGUCCCAUGAAAUUUUGUGUUUAUCCGCUCGUGAAAUUUUCGGCGCAGUGUUCGAAAAAUUUUUCGGCGAAAAGUCACCAGGCGGAGUCGCGAUCAAAGAAAUCUGUCAGUUUGUUUUUAUUUUGAAAAGAAAACACGCCGUGAAGUGAGAAUUUGAAGAAAAACUCGGAAAAACGUGAGGAAAAGUGAAAAGAGAAAUGAAUGAGGAGCGUCAGGAAGGAGAUGAAGCAAUGAAGAAGCUCCCGAUGGCAGCACCCGAAGUGGAAGCACCCAUGAUAGCAGCAUCAGUGGUCGUAGCCCCUACAGUAGUGGCACCUGCAGUUGCAGCACCCACGGUGGAAACUCCUGCGAAGGCAUUGCCCACGGCGACGAUUAACAGUGGAUCCAGACGAGAAAAAGUGACAGGAUUUGCGCUUGGAUUGAGGGAGAUCGAAGCGCUUGUGCCUCGUUUCGAACCUGGCGACCGGAAGAUGCUAUCAGCUGCCGCCUGGUUCGACACUGUCAGUGCAAUCUUUCAUCAAUACGGUGUCAAGGAUGAACAUGCAGUUUUGAUGGCGAGUAUGCGGCUGAAGGGUGCAGCAAAAUCAUGGUUCGAGGGAAUGAGGGACAAUCUCCAUACUUGGGAAAUAUUUGGGGAAGCAUUGAAGGAAUUCUUCCCAGGGGAGAUUGAUAAUCUCACAAUCCACCAAAAGCUCCGAGAAGGCAAGAAGCGGCGAAGCGAGACAGCAGAGGAGUAUUGCUACGGAAAAAUGGCUCUCGCACAACAAAUCCAGUUGGACUUCAACACCCUCACAAGUUACAUUGUGGCGGGUAUUCAGGACCCCAACUUGAGAUCCAUUCUGAGCACGUCGCGGUAUGAUAGCCUCCCGGAGAUUGUACUGACUAUUAACCGUCAUGAAGCAUCUCAGAAUUUGGACAGGUGGAGCAGGGACCACCGCCGUGAAGAUCGCCAUUCCAGCCGCCGUGAUUCACGUCAUGAUGAGCGUCGUGGUGAGUGGCGUGACUAUCGGCACGGAAGAUAGCCUCGUAGGCGUGAGAAACAGCAGUCGAUAAGAAGUAGAUUGCGCUCAUGUGGUCGAAAAAGUUCAUGUUCUCUUACAGGCAAAA